rnacentral:piRNA from 1 species
UGAAUCAGCACAGAUCUUGGGCCAG